rnacentral:rRNA from 1 species
CCUACGGGAGGCAGUAGUGAGGCCUAUUGGUCAAUGGACGCAAGUCUGAACCAGCCAUGCCGCGUGCAGGAAGACGGCUCUAUGAGUUGUAAACUGCUUUUGUACGAGGGUAAACGCAGAUACGCGUAUCUGUCUGAAAGGAUCGUACGAAUAAGGAUCGGCUAACUCCGUGCCAGCAGCCGCGGUAAUACGGAGGAUUCAAGCGUUAUCCGGAUUUAUUGGGUUUAAAGGGUGCGUAGGAGGUCGGAUAAGUUAGAGGUGAAAGUCCGAGGCUCAACUUCGGAAUUGCCUCUGAUACUGUUCGGCUAGAGAGUAGUUGCGGUAGGCGGAAUGUAUGGUGUAGCGGUGAAAUGCUUAGAGAUCAUACAGAACACCGAUUGCGAAGGCAGCUUACCAAGCUACUUCUGACGUUGAGGCACGAAAGCGUGGGGAGCAAACAGGAUUAGAUACCCCGGUAGUC